ACCACUGAGCCAUCUCGCCAGCCCCGGGAAACAUUCAUAGAAAAAGGAAAAACAGGGCUGGAGAGAUGGCUCAGUGGU
rnacentral:pre_miRNA from 1 species